rnacentral:rRNA from 1 species
ACAUGAGUCAUGUUAAUUGGUGAAUGUGAUAACGUAAGGGAAAAAAAUGAUGUUACCUUACUAUUAGUGUUGUCCAAAACUGGUGCCAGAAGACUCGGUAAGGCCAGAGACGCAAACGUUAGUCGUCCUAAUCAGGCGUAAAGGGUGUGUAGGCGGCUUUAAAAAUUUACUCUUUAAUAAGCUCUCGUUCUUCUCGAACGUUUUUAGGGUUAGCCUAGGCUUAGGUUUGGGUUAGCCGAACGAGUCAACGAGUAAGGAGAAAUGAAUUAAAGCUAGAAUCAAAUUGGGGAUAAACCGAAUAAUACUUAGAGUAGGGAUGAUAUCCGUAGAUACUAAGGGGAAUACUAAGGGUGAAAGCUUUUUAUCUACUAUUGAUUGACGCUGAGAAACGAAGGUGAGAAUAGGAAAUAGGAUUAGAUACCCAGAUACCUCUCACUGUCAACGAUGAAUGGUGGUUGUUAGUUUUAAUAAAAACUGGUAACGAUGUUAACACGAUAACCAUUCCGCCUUGCGAGUACGGUUGCAAAACUGAAACCAAAAAAAUUAGUCGGUCUCGAAGCAAACGAAGUGAAGCAUGUUAUUUAAUU